GACGAACGCUGGCGGCGUGCUUAACACAUGCAAGUCGAACGCUGAAGCUCAGCUUUUGUUGGGUGGAUGAGUGGCGAACGGGUGAGUAACACGUGAGUAACCUGCCUCCUUCUUUGGGAUAACGCCCGGAAACGGGUGCUAAUACUGGAUAUUCACUGGUCUUCGCAUGGGGGUUGGUGGAAAGGGUUUUUCUGGUGGGGGAUGGGCUCGCGGCCUAUCAGCUUGUUGGUGGGGUGAUGGCCUACCAAGGCUUUGACGGGUAGCCGGCCUGAGAGGGUGACCGGUCACAUUGGGGCUGAGAUACGGCCCAGACUACUACGGGGGGCAGCAGUGGGGAAAAUUGCACGAUUGGCGCAAGCCUGAUGCAGCGACGCCGCGUGAGGGAUGGAGGCCUUCGGGUUGUGAACCUCUUUCGCUCAUGGUCAAGCCGCAACAAUGGUUGUGGUGAGGGUAGUGGGUAAAGAAGCGCCGGCUAACUACGUG
rnacentral:rRNA from 1 species